GACCUGGCCGGGCGGUCCGCCCUCUGGGUGAGCACUGUUCCGACGCCGGGCCUAUCCUUCUGGUGAGUCGGCAAGUCCUUUAUUGGGUGUGUCGGGGAACCAGGACCAUUACCUUGAAAAAAAUAGAGUGUUCAAAGCAGGCGUAUGCUCGAAUACACUAGCAUGGAAUAAUGAAAUAGGACGCGUGGUGCUAUUUUGUUGGUUUCUAGAACCGCCGUA
rnacentral:rRNA from 1 species